UAAAGGGGACCUUAGAGGGCGCUUUUGUAAAAAAAGCGCCCUCUAAAGGGGGCCUAAGAGGGCGCUUCUGAAAGCGCUCUCUAAGGCUUUCGAAAAGCGCCUUCUAAACUGGAAAUGUACAUGGACUUAGAGAGCGCUUUUUCAAAAGCGCCCUCUAAGGGUAACCUUAGAGGGCGCUUUCAUUAAAGCGCCCUCUAUUGUUGUCCCUCCAUUUCCU
rnacentral:lncRNA from 1 species